rnacentral:rRNA from 1 species
CCUACGGGAGGCAGCAGUGGGGAAUAUUUCGCAAUGGGCGAAAGCCUGACGCAGCGACGCCGCGUGAGGGAUGAAGGUCUUCGGAUCGUAAACCUCUGUCAGCAGGGAAGAACGGUCACUGUGCUAAUCAUCAGUGAAUUGACGGUACCUGCAAGGGAAGCACCGGCUCACUCCGUGCCAGCAUCCGCGGUAAUACGGAGGGUGCGAGCGUUAAUCGGACUUACGGGGCGUAACGCGCUCGUAGGAGGUAUGUCAAGUCAAGGGUGAAAUCCCAGCGCUCAACGUGGGAACUGCCUUUGAAACUGGAAAACUGGAGGGUGUGAGAGGAUAGUGGAAUUCCAGGUGUAGGAGUGA